rnacentral:rRNA from 1 species
AUGCAGUCGAGCGGUAACACAAGGGAGCUUGCUCCUGAGGUGACGAGCGGCGGACGGGUGAGUAAUGCCUAGGUAUCUGCCCAGUCGAGGGGGAUAACAGUUGGAAACGACUGCUAAUACCGCAUACGCCCUACGGGGGAAAGGAGGGGACCUUCGGGCCUUCCGCGAUUGGAUGAACCUAGGUGGGAUUAGCUAGUUGGUGAGGUAAUGGCUCACCAAGGCGACGAUCCCUAGCUGGUCUGAGAGGAUGAUCAGCCACACUGGAACUGAGACACGGUCCAGACUCCUACGGGAGGCAGCAGUGGGGAAUAUUGCACAAUGGGCGAAAGCCUGAUGCAGCCAUGCCGCGUGUGUGAAGAAGGCCUUCGGGUUGUAAAGCACUUUCAGCGAGGAGGAAAGGUUAAGUCUUAAUACGGCUUAGCUGUGACGUUACUCGCAGAAGAAGCACCGGCUAACUUCGUGCCAGCAGCCGCGGUAAUACGAGGGGUGCAAGCGUUAAUCGGAAUUACUGGGCGUAAAGCGUACGCAGGCGGUUUGUUAAGCAAGAUGUGAAAGCCCCGGGCUCAACCUGGGAACUGCAUUUUGAACUGGCAAACUAGAGUCUUGUAGAGGGGGGUAGAAUUUCAGGUG